AGAAAUGCGAGCAGUUCUGUGUUGAAGUCAGAACACCUGCCACUAGCAAUUUGUACAACUUUGGGAAAGUUUCUCUAGGGGACCCCGCUUCCACAUCUAUAAAUCAGAGUACCCACUUCACAGUUUGCUGUGAGACCUGUGUGAUAGAGGAAUGACUGAUUCGUCACCUAUAGAGCAGGGUUGUGAGAUAAAGAUGUUUGUGUAGGAAAGCUUAAGCCGUUCUCCUCUGCUACGUGGUGUAAAGAUCCCAGGUGGGUUGUACCUUCUGAAAACGUGGGCGGGUUCUUCGCGCUGCCCCUCCCUCUUAACCCCUCUCCUCUCCCCACCCCUACCCUCUCUUCCUUCUUCCUUAUUUGUGUUCUUUCUUGGGAACAAAUGACAUAUCCAGCAGAGAGUGACGCUCAAUAAAUGAGACUGUACGACGAUUCAAUACUCAGGAAAAGAAGGUGCUGUAUGCAUUCAAGUUAAAGGGCUGUAAAUAUUUUCGUAAUUCUAACAGAACUUUGCCCUCUUCUGCGAUCUCAGUGUGUGCUCGGUGCUGACUUCAUCCCCUCCCAUAAAAAUACUGUCCGUACGCGGUGGAGCCCUUGAAACCCUGCCCUUCUCAGCCCUAAUCCUCGUUCUUUAGUCCUGCACACUUCCUUCUACCCUACGCGCGCGCUAGGUGGAGUCUCCGGUCCUUAGUAAAGGGAAGGCUUCUUCGCCCCCUGGUGGUCAUAAGUGGAAAAGUCUGAAAAGGGCCGUACGAAUCGGGAGUAAGGAUCAAGGAUGGCCAUUCAGCCUCUGCCGGAACACAUCCCGGGAUGGAACAUCCUAGUCCUCCUGGGAAAAGAAUUGUAAAAAAGCCACAAGACCAUCAAAGGCACAGACUUUUAUAAAAUCAGAUAACCCAGAAAGGGGCAUUGGACAAAGCGUAGCAUGCCAUAGACACCUGGCAGAAGUCUGGGUUCCACUUGCGAGUUGUGUACAAUAAACUGAAGAAAAUCAGGAAUCCAGGUGCAGCUUAGGUGGGUGCCUCUGUUUCAAGAUCUCUUACGAGACUACAAUUAAAGUCUAAGCUGGGACUACAGCCUCAUUUCACGGCUUGACUGUGGAAGGAUCUGCUUCCAAGGUCACUCAUGUGGUUGUUGGCAGGAAUCAGUCCUCAGGUGCUGUUGGACUUGGUUCCGUGCUGGCUAUUGGCUGGAGGCUGUCCUCAGUUCCUUGCCGUGUGGACCUCUCUGUAGGGCAGCUCACAACAUGGCAGAUGGCUUCCAUCAGAGCAAGGAGGUGAGAAAAACAGAGAGAACGAGAAAGACAGAGAAAGAGAUGGAUGGAAGCCAAAAUGUUUUUGCAAUCUGACCUCAGAUGUGGCAUCCUGUCUCUUUUGUCAUAUUCUGUUCAUUAAAAAAAAGUCAUUAGGUUCAGCUCACACUCAAGGUGAGGGGAUUACACGACGGAAUGAAGACCAGGAGCCAUCUCAGUGGCUCCCUAGGACACAGCUCAAAUCUGCUCUUUCAUCCCGUGUCAGACCUGGACAGCUCUGACCCAUUCUCCAAGCCUCAGAGUAGAUGCUUUACCCUCCAGGAUUGAGUUAAUGGUCCUUCAAGCAUGCCUCUGUGACACCCUGGACUUCUCCAUCAUAGCCCCCACCACAGCAUGUCAUUACCUAGCCACUGGUCUGCCUCCUGCCCCUUCUGUAAGCUCUGUGAGGACAGCCACCUUGUCUCUUGUCUUCACUGAUGUGGACCCAGACCCAAGCAUAGGGCCAAAACAUACUGGGCACUCGGGGUAUGUUUACUAAAUUUAUUAAACGACCGUUCUUAUAA
ensembl:lncRNA